rfam:Eubacterium saphenum ATCC 49989 genomic scaffold Scfld0, whole genome shotgun sequence.
GUUAAGGCCCUGUGCAAUAUGACACCACGAACCUUGUCAGGUCCUGACGGAAGCAGCAAUAAGAGGAUUGUCGUAUGUGCCACAGACCAGUCUUAUGGCA